AUUCUGAUUUUCAGUUCGACGUAAGUAGUUAUCUCUUUAUAUACCAUAAAAAAAGAGAGACACAUACGGAAGAGUCAUCGAUUGCUCAUACAAAAGCCACGACAAUGAGAGAGGGUGAACUCGUAAAUAAUUGAUCGGCAAGUCCUCGUAUUAAUAACGGCAACAGCAUCGAAGUACCGGGAUCGUGUCAAGGACCACCCGUUGUGAUUCGAGCGACACUCUGCCGGGGACAGACGACACGACACAAUCAACGGACUCUCCCUUCCACAGGGCUAUGCUCAAGAAGAGCGUUGACCGCGUACCACGUUCUCAAUCCUAUCGGCCAUCUUGAUGUCAUUCUACAUUCUCCGCGAUGCGACGAGUAAUUAAAACGUAGUCAGCGCUAUCUGAGAGAUCCCUCGGCGGUGAUUAAAGUCGCCUAACUGAUGCGAGCACACGAGACAUCACCGUACCAUCUGCAUCAACAUAUUAUGUAUUUACUACAUAUACUUUUUUAUAUACACCGUUCUGCACAGAAACGCCACUCGAUUUCGAACAGUGCCGCUAAUUUGCGCGUGGCUCGUCGCCGCUUAAUUAAUCCGCGCUACCGAGAGGGAAACAAGAAGGGAGAACCACCGUCACCACCAUCGUCACUACUACUAACCACCACCAUCGCCACCAUCACCACCACCACCACCACCAUUACCACCAUGACCAUCACCGUCACCAUCACUAUCAGCACCAUUACCAUCAUAGUCACUAGAACUAUAGGAGGUAAGUCGUUCCUCGAGAAGUUCACCGUGAGAUUUCCAACGACUUCUCAAACUUCUUAUUUCAAAAGGGACAAAAAAAAAGGGAAUGAGGCCUAAUGACAAACGUCAAAGAAACGAAUGCCAUGUUGGCAAAAGAGAUAAAGAGAUAUAGAAAGAAAAAAAAUUACACUCGUUAGCGUCGGCUUAGCGAAAGACGGCAAAUCGAUUAAUAUUAAUAUUUAUAGAAGUUACACGAGCAUUCAGAAUAAAUGAAGCAUAACGGUGCU